rnacentral:rRNA from 1 species
AUGAACGCUGGCGGCGUGCCUAAUACAUGCAAGUCGAGCGAACAGACGAGGAGCUUGCUCCUCUGACGUUAGCGGCGGACGGGUGAGUAACACGUGGAUAACCUACCUAUAAGACUGGGAUAACUUCGGGAAACCGGAGCUAAUACCGGAUAAUAUAUUGAACCGCAUGGUUCAAUAGUGAAAGACGGUUUUGCUGUCACUUAUAGAUGGAUCCGCGCCGCAUUAGCUAGUUGGUAAGGUAACGGCUUACCAAGGCAACGAUGCGUAGCCGACCUGAGAGGGUGAUCGGCUACACUGGAACUGAGACACGGUCCAGACUCCUACGGGAGGCAGCAGUAGGGAAUCUUCCGCAAUGGGCGAAAGCUUGACGGAGCAACGCCGCGUGAGUGAUGAAGGUCUUCGGAUCGUAAAACUCUGUUAUUAGGGAAGAACAAAUGUGUAAGUAACUAUGCACGUCUUGACGGUACCUAAUCAGAAAGCCACGGCUAACUACGUG